rnacentral:rRNA from 1 species
GACGAACGCUGGCGGCGUGCUUAACACAUGCAAGUCAAACGGAAAGGCCCUUCGGGGUACUCGAGUGGCGAACGGGUGAGUAACACGUGGGUGAUCUGCCCUGCACUUUGGGAUAAGCCUGGGAAACUGGGUCUAAUACCGAAUAGGACCACGCGCUUCAUGGUGUGUGGUGGAAAGCUUUUGCGGUGUGGGAUGGGCCCGCGGCCUAUCAGCUUGUUGGUGGGGUAAUGGCCUACCAAGGCGACGACGGGUAGCCGGCCUGAGAGGGUGACCGGCCACACUGGGACUGAGAUACGGCCCAGACUCCUACGGGAGGCAGCAGUGGGGAAUAUUGCACAAUGGGCGCAAGCCUGAUGCAGCGACGCCGCGUGAGGGAUGACGGCCUUCGGGUUGUAAACCUCUUUCAAUAGGGACGAAGCGCAAGUGACGGUACCUAUAGAAGAAGCACCGGCCAACUACGUG